GCACCCAGUCUCCUAGCAACACGCUGGCGGCGCACGGCAUCCGGAGCGGAGAGAUGCCGGGCUGCUGGGCGGGGAUCCAGGGUCGUCUGAGCAGGGCCAUCCCCAGGGCAGCGGGGAGAGGACAGGGUCUGAGGCCUUGUGUCCACCGCUCUGAGCGCGUGGGACGAGGCAUGAAAACAAGUCAGCCCUGAACAUGGAGAAUCUGGUUCCUGCCCACCGGAGCAGAGCUCCUGUGUCCCACCUCCCCUCCACCUGCUGAAACGUCAUUGGCACCCAGCAGGUCCCCGGCCUGCCGGUGAAAAGCUCCACUGCCCUCCCGCGGUGAGGCUGGCUCCAGCGCCAGCUGCUGUACUAUCUCAAGACCUCGAUCCAGCUGCAUCACUGCAGUGCCAGGGCCAGCUCCAGAGAGGCCCAGCAAAAACAAGGCAAACGUCACUGGUAGAAAGACAACUGAACCUAGGAAAGCAUUCCUCAGAACCCAAAGCCAGAGGAAGGUUAGCAUCCCUGUGGUACCGAAAACUCUCAAAAGUCAAUGUUUUAAAAAAGGUACAGAGAACAAACACAUGCAGUGCAAACGAGAAGUGAUGCACGUGGCCAUAAGCAGCAGAGAUGCUCGCCUCCCUGCUCUGGACGCACACAAAUGUCCUCACCGCCAAGGAGCACUGGGUUACCAUCACUGGUGGGUGUUUAUUUCUGGUGAUGGUGUGAGGGAGCAGAGGCCCCAUCAGCUGCCCUGGAGGGACACUCCUCUCUGGAGAAGAGCUUUCGGGACCUGUCAAAGUCCCACGGGUGUAUACCUUUACUAGUGGUAAUUUAUCCAAAAGAAAUCCUUGCACAAUAUUUCAAACAUCCAUUGAUACGACUGCUCAUCAGGGCCUACACAGACUCUCCAGUGCAGGCCAUGCCCUGGUCCUGGCCCCAUCCCCGCCCCCGCCCCUCCUGCAUCUUAAUGCAGCUUCUGAGCUGAGCACCCAGCCCUGCUGUCCAGGACACCGGAGGGCGUGGCCUGCCCGCUCCCUCUCCUCCAGGCAUCCAUCCAGGGGAUGUUCUCAGCUGCAACAGCAGGACCCUUGAGCUCCUGUGAGCAGAGGAGGCCUUCACAGAGCACAGGGGUGGGUGGGGGCCUCAGGGAAGCUGCUGGAAGGUCAGAGCAUCAGGCUGGGGGCUUUGGAGACGGAGCACUGCUCAGACUGCAUCUCAGGCUCCACGGGAGUGCGGGCUGCCACCCCGAGCCCAAGCUUCAGUCACACUCAACUCUGCCUGGCAGGGAGGAGUCGGAGAGCCUCACCUGCCUCAAAGUGGGUUGGGGACAGGGGGGUCCACAUGGUCUGAGGCUGUCGGAUGAAGCCACAGCCACUUGUGUCUUAUCUACCCAGACUUGGAGACCCCCAAGCAGACAGCGUUGGUCCUCAAGGGGGGAAUUCACCAGGCUCUCCCUGGAGGAAGGGGAGGGAAGACCCUGACCGUAUGGUGAGCAGGUGAGGGCAGAGAGCAGGGAUGCGUGACGGCCGCGUGGCUGGGGCAGUGCCACCUGGUGGUCGAGGCACAGGCUCUGAGGUCAGACAGACCCCGUCACCGGGGAAGGUGUUGCUAUUCGAGCCACAGUUUGCUCGUCUGUGAAGUGGGGCCAGCAGUGGCCUUCUAAGGUGAUAUGGAGACAGGCUCAGUGCGACUGCACUUGGGGGCCCCCGUAUGUGCUCAGUGACAAGAACCCAACAAAGGGCCACCUGGAAAGAGCACCCGUCCCCGUGGGAGGCACAUUCUCAGGGGCUGCGGGUACACUGUGAAGUACUGUAGCUGUCCUUCACAUGUGACAAGAGGCGUCAAGGUGCCUGUCCCCUGUGCCCCAAGAACGGGACCCUGGGAAAAAGCAAAGCGGCGAUUUGCCCAAGGACAUCUCAGCAGUGGUGUCUGGAGCACAGGAGGCCUGGGAUGUAUCUUGGAAAAGUGAAUGACCGUAAGCUCAGCCAGGCGGUGACUGACUCCCGUUGCUGCUUCCUCGGUGUGAUUUCAUUGCCUGAGCAGAAUAGCACAUCCCUCGGUACCUGGCAUGCAGCUAUUGAUCUGGGAAAUGCCUCUUCCUCCAUACCUGCUAGGAAAGACCACCAGAAUCAGAGCCGGCCAGCAGAACUCAUUCAUGUCCUGCCUCAGGCUGUAUCAGGUCUCCAGCCCGAUGUCACGGUUUUUUCCCUUCGUUCUCUUACAGUGUUGCAUUGAUUGGUGUUUGCAUGUUAACCCAUCCUUAGAAGGUCCUACCUCGCUGUGCUUGUAGCACUCCUGAGCGUCUGCAUGUGGGCCUCUGGAUGGAAUCUGUACUUUCUACCGUUCCAUGUGUCUGUCCUGCACCACGACCGCACUACCUUGUUUACUGUUGCUGAAUUAAAAGUCUGGAUAUCUA